rnacentral:rRNA from 1 species
UACGUAGGGUGCAAGCGUUAAUCGGAAUUACUGGGCGUAAAGCGUGCGCAGGCGGUUAUGUAAGACAGUUGUGAAAUCCCCGGGCUCAACCUGGGAACUGCAUCUGUGACUGCAUAGCUAGAGUACGGUAGAGGGGGAUGGAAUUCCGCGUGUAGCAGUGAAAUGCGUAGAUAUGCGGAGGAACACCGAUGGCGAAGGCAGCCCACUAAGCAAUGAUUGACGCUGAGGCACGAAAGCGUGGGGAUCAAACAGG